rnacentral:rRNA from 1 species
UACGGGGGGGGCAAGCGUUGUUCGGAAUUACUGGGCGUAAAGGGCUCGUAGGUGGCCAACUAAGUCAGACGUGAAAUCCCCAGGCUCAACCUGGGAACUGCGUCUGAUACUGGAUGGCUUGAAUUCGGGAGAGGGAUGCAGAAUUCCAGGUGUAGCGGUGAAAUGCGUAGAUAUCUGGAGGAACACCGGUGGCGAAGGCGGCAUCCUGGACCGAGAUUGACGCUGAUGCGCGAAAGCCAGGGGAGCAAACGGG